rnacentral:rRNA from 1 species
CGCCUGUUUAACAAAAACAUGGCCUUUUGAUAAUGAUUUAAGGUCUAACCUGCCCUAUGAGGAUUUAAAUGGCCGCGGUAUUUUGACCGUGCAAAGGUAGCAUAAUAAUUAGUUUUUUAAUUGAAAGCUGGUAUGAAUGGUUGAAUGAGAAAAUUACUGUCUCUUUUCAAUUUUUUAGAAUUUUAUUUUUAAGUUAGAAAGCUUAAAUUUUAUUAAAAGACGAGAAGACCCUAUAGAGUUUUAUAAAAUUAUUUUUUUUUCUUUUUUAGUAUCUUAAAAAUGAAAAUUUAAUUUUAUUUGGUUGGGGCGACUAAAAAAUUUAUUAAACUUUUUUUUAUAAAAACACUGAUUUGUGAAUUGUUGAUCCAUUAUUAAUGAUUAAAAGAGAAAAUUACCUUAGGGAUAACAGCGUAAUCUUUUUUGAGAGUUCUAAUCGAAAAAAGGGUUUGCGACCUCGAUGUUGGAUUAAAAUUAAUUUCUGGUGCAGAAGCUAGAAAUUUAGGUCUGUUCGACCUUUAAAAUUUUACGUGAUCUGAGUUCAGACCGG